AGAGAAUGGGCGGGAGGGGCCCCACGUCACAGGGAGGGGCCCUGGCUAUGCCAGGCCCUCACUUGAUUUCUAAGAGCUUAGGCUUUCCCAGCCCCCGACUGGAAGGGGCACUCAGGAUGGUCCCUGCCCUCCUAACCAGGUGGAAGCAGAAGCCCAGGCUCCAGGUUCCUCCUGAGGCUCUAGGCUUAUGGGGUAAGGUGUGCGGGGAGGUGGGGGCUGGAGUGAGGCUGGUGCAGCGGUCCCCACCCCCUCAGUGAGCAGGGGGCAAGACUGCUCCAUUGGCUGUUUCUGCGGAAGUCUGGCAAGCAGCCCGGCCCCAGAGGCUCCAGGCCCCCACUGUUCUGCUUUUAACAGCGGCAAGGGAGCCAAAUCAGCCCUCUAGUGUAAGCUUCCAUUACCCUGGCACCUGGCAGCCAACAGGGGGGCACUAGGUCUCCCCAGUCUCCAGAAAAGAAGGGUAUAGAAGGGCAGGAGUAGGACCUGCUGACCCCCACUUCCUCCAUCCCCUCCUGGGACCCUCAACAGCCCCACGGCUCAGACAGCCUGGCCCUGGAUGCCACACCCUCAUUCCUGCCCCGUUCACAACUUGCUUGCUCUCAGCUCCCCGGUAACCUGCUGGGUCCAGGGAGCUGACAGCUUGAUCCCUAGCCCUCAGGAUAAUAAACAUCUAAAAAGCAA
ensembl:lncRNA novel transcript, antisense to PXN